rnacentral:tRNA from 1 species
GACCCGAUAGCUCAGCAGGUAGAGCAACGGCCUUUUAAGCCGUGGGUCGUGCGUUCGAGCCGCACUCGGGUCACAA